CCUGGCUCAGGAUGAACGCUGGCGGCGUGCUUAACACAUGCAAGUCGAACGGUGAAAGAGGAGCUUGCUCCUCUGGAUCAGUGGCGAACGGGUGAGUAACACGUGAGUAACCUGCCCUUGACUCUGGGAUAAGCGUUGGAAACGACGUCUAAUACCGGAUAUGACCUUCGGAGGCAUCUCCUGAAGGUGGAAAGAAUUUCGGUCAAGGAUGGACUCGCGGCCUAUCAGCUAGUUGGUGAGGUAAUGGCCCACCAAGGCGACGACGGGUAGCCGGCCUGAGAGGGUGACCGGCCACACUGGGACUGAGACACGGCCCAGACUCCUACGGGAGGCAGCAGUGGGGAAUAUUGCACAAUGGGCGCAAGCCUGAUGCAGCAACGCCGCGUGAGGGACGACGGCCUUCGGGUUGUAAACCUCUUUUAGUAGGGAAGAAGCGAAAGUGACGGUACCUGCAGAAAAAGCACCGGCUAACUACGUGCCAGCAGCCGCGGUAAUACGUAGGGUGCAAGCGUUAUCCGGAAUUAUUGGGCGUAAAGAGCUCGUAGGCGGUUUGUCGCGUCUGCUGUGAAAACUGGGGGCUCAACCCCCAGCCUGCAGUGGGUACGGGCAGACUAGAGUGCGGUAGGGGAGAUUGGAAUUCCUGGUGUAGCGGUGGAAUGCGCAGAUAUCAGGAGGAACACCGAUGGCGAAGGCAGAUCUCUGGGCCGUAACUGACGCUGAGGAGCGAAAGCAUGGGGAGCGAACAGGAUUAGAUACCCUGGUAGUCCAUGCCGUAAACGUUGGGAACUAGAUGUAGGGACCAUUCCACGGUUUCUGUGUCGCAGCUAACGCAUUA
rnacentral:rRNA from 1 species